rnacentral:sRNA from 1 species
UAGAAAUUAAGAAUACAAAUUACUUGUUUCAGAGCCAAAUAAAUGGAAACAUAUUUAUUAUGAACUAACUUAUUCCACUCUCAACACUUUAUACCCAUGUACCAAUGUGUGUGUGUGUGUGUGUGUAUAUCAGACAAUUAUUGCUGCAUCCAGAGGGCACCUCUUAUAUGCUACUCAAAAGACAGUACUGGGAAACAAACUCAGUGACCCCAAACAGAAACUCUAA